rnacentral:rRNA from 1 species
UACGAAGGGGGCUAGCGUUGUUCGGAAUUAUUGGGCGUAAAGGGCGCGUAGGCGGCGACAACAGUCGGAUGUGAAAGCCCUGGGCUUAACCUAGGAAGUGCAUCCGAUACUAUGUUGCUUGAGUCCUGGAGAGGGUGGUGGAAUUCCUGGUGUAGAGGUGAAAUUCGUAGAUAUCAGGAGGAACACCGGUGGCGAAGGCGACCACCUGGACAGAGACUGACGCUGAGGCGCGAAAGCGUGGGGAGCAAACAGG